CCGGAGGCCACAGGAAUGCACUGGAAGGUUCUAUCCAGUGGAGUCAGAGCCUUGGAGUCUACUAACCACAGAACUGGUUAGUAGAAGGGAUGGAAGUGGCUCUCUGUUCCUGGAAACCAGGGUCUGGCAGAACAGGAGAGAGAGAUCACAAGCAGAU